GGGGGGCGGGGGGGGGGGGCGGGGGAGGGGCGGGGCGGAGGGGGGAGCCCGGCUGGCGGGGUGGAUGAGUGGCGAACGGGUGAGUAACACGUGAGUAACCUGCCCUUAACUCUGGGAUAAGCCGGGGAAACUGGGUCUAAUACCGGAUAGGAGCGCCUACCGCAUGGUGGGUGUUGGAAAGAUUUAUCGGGUUUGGAUGGACUCGCGGCCUAUCAGCUUGUUGGUGAGGUAAUGGCUCACCAAGGCGACGACGGGUAGCCGGCCUGAGAGGGUGACCGGCCACACUGGGACUGAGACACGGCCCAGACUCCUACGGGAGGCAGCAGUGGGGAAUAUUGCACAAUGGGCGAAAGCCUGAUGCAGCGACGCCGCGUGAGGGAUGACGGCCUUCGGGUUGUAAACCUCUUUCAGUAGGGAAGAAGCGAAAGUGACGGUACCUGCAGAAGAAGCACCGGCUAACUACGUG
rnacentral:rRNA from 1 species